CGGGGAAUUUUGCGCAAUGGGGGAAACCCUGACGCAGCAACGCCGCGUGAGUGAUGAAGGCCUUCGGGUCGUAAAGCUCUGUCAGAGGGGAAGAAAUGCAGGGGUGCUAAUAUCAUCUUUGCUUGACGGUACCCUCAAAGGAAGCACCGGCUAACUCCGUGCCAGCAGCCGUGGUAAUACGGAGGGUGCGAGCGUUGUUCGGAAUUAUUGGGCGUAAAGCGCGUGUAGGCAGUUUGGUAAGUCUGAUGUGAAAGCCCCGGGCUCAACCUGGGAAGUGCAUUGGAAACUGUCAGACUUGAAUACGGGAGAGGGUAGUGGAAUUCCUAGUGUAGGAGUGAAAUCCGUAGAUAUUAGGAGGAACACCGGUGGCGAAGGCGGCUACCUGGACCGAUAUUGACGCUGAGACGCGAAAGCGUGGGGAGCAAACAG
rnacentral:rRNA from 1 species